CUGCUCUUCCAGGAGUGCUUUAAGCUCUCACAGUCCACAUGGACCAGCUGUUUGGCAGGGAUGUGAAGGGCCUUGUGGAAUGUGGCACACUUCAUGCAAAUCCCUGCUGCUUGGUAGUAUUAAAAAAGGCUGUUGCAAGACCUCAGAAGAGGAUGCAGUGAUUCCUGUGCCAUAACUUGUUGCAGUGGCUUGCCCCAGAGACCUUCCAGCACUGCUUGCAGCCGUGGGGAAUUGCACUUGAAAGAGGCUGCUAUCACAGCAGCCCAGGCUGACAGCAAGAACAAACCAGUGGCCUGCAGCAUGGUCCUUGCCCAGGAUCUCUGCCUGCCAACCAGCAAAAGGCUUGGAAUGCUGCUGUAAGAAUAUUGAAGUAGUCUCAUCUCUCUUUUUGAACUUGGCCCUUAUAUGUAACAGAGCUGUGUAUGGUACCCAGCAUUUGAGAGGAUAAUACAGGGCUUUAUCUCAAAUCUUUGAAAACUGCCUCCCUUGAAGUCUGAAAUGCUGUAUCUGAUAGUCGCCACUUCUUAGGAGGAGGGCUGCCCUGCUUCAUAUUAAAAAAGCAAAAUACAUGUGUUUAAUCCUGGACAUGGAUGUAAACCUGUCUAUUCCUUAUUUUGCAUCCUUCGAGUAUUAUUAUAAUCAGGCCAGUUUAUUAAGAAUUAAUGCCCCUUCGUGAACAGAGGAUAAUGGAAUGGCCACAUUUCCUCUUGUGCUGAACUGUGAUUUACUAAUAGGAGCUUCUAGGGAAAGGAUCAUAAAAGAGAGAGUCCCCCACCUCUGGAUUAAUAUUUAAUCAGGUGCUAAGAGAGCCUUGUGUUGGAUCCUAGAGUUGCUAGCAGAAACCUGCAGGGGAAAUGAGAGGGUCCUGCAUUUAAAGGGGAAAUGCAAUUAUAAUUAAAGGCUUGAUCCAAGGCCCUUGGACAUAAAUGAAAAGCUCCUGUUGAUUUGAAGACCUCUGGAUCUGGCCCAAAGGGAACCAAAAAUAAUGAAUGUUUUUGCAUGUGAGGCAUAGACAGGAGUACUUAUUUAUAUAAUUAUUUCAAAGAUAUCAGACAAGGUUAAC
rnacentral:lncRNA from 1 species